UACGUAGGGGGCAAGCGUUGUCCGGAAUCAUUGGGCGUAAAGCGCGUGUAGGCGGUCCGGUAAGUCCGCUGUGAAAGUCGGGAGCUCAACCCUCGGAUGCCGGUGGAUACUGUCGGGCUUGAGUACGGAAGAGGCGAGUGGAAUUCCUGGUGUAGCGGUGAAAUGCGCAGAUAUCAGGAGGAACACCAAUGGCGAAGGCAGCUCGCUGGGACGUUACUGACGCUGAGACGCGAAAGCGUGGGGAGCAAACAGG
rnacentral:rRNA from 1 species